rnacentral:lncRNA from 1 species
UGUUUGAAUAAAAAAGAAAAAGUUUCCCAAUACGCCAAGAGGUUAGUUUGAAUCUUCGAUACUUGCUUCGACUUUUGAUUCGACUUUUAAUUCGAUUAUCGAUAUGACUUGUAAUUCGACUUUUGACAAAUUUAAAAAAGAAAAUGGAGAUCGUAAGAAAGCACGUAUACGCGACAUUAAUAUGGAAUAGAAAAAAAACAAAAAGAAAAGAAAAAACAUGAUUGUAUUGUUGGAGCUAAAGGAAGAAAAGGAUAAAAAGAGAGGACACUUGAUUUGUUACGACACAGUCGUCGUGACAGCUUUCAGUUUAUCUAGGAAAGUAACUGUUCAUAGUCUAUACAAGAAAAAUGACUUACUUGAAUUCUAUGAUCCACUUGAGUUUAUCUAAAUCUUCUUGCGUACAAAAAUGCAUAUAAUCACCACCAGCAUGCCAAGGAUAGAAUGAAUGAUAACGAAUCAUAGCAAGUGCUUCCUUAG